rnacentral:tRNA from 1 species
ACCUGGGUGGCUCAGUCAGUUGAGCGUCUGGCUUCAGCUCAGGUCAUGAUCUCACGGUUCGUGGGUUCGAGCCCCGCGUCGGGCU